rnacentral:rRNA from 1 species
UACGUAGGGUGCGAGCGUUAAUCGGAAUUACUGGGCGUAAAGCGUGCGUAGGUGGUUCGUUUAAGUCUGAUGUGAAAGCCCUGGGCUCAACCUGGGAAUUGCAUUGAGGACUGGCGUGCUCGAGUGCGGCAGAGGGGGGUGGAAUCCACGUGUAGCAGUGAAAUGCGUAGAGAUGUGGAGGAACACCGAUGGCAAAGGCAGCCCCCUGGGCCGACACGUGACGCU